rnacentral:tRNA from 1 species
GCGUCUAUUGUCUAAUAGAUAGGACAGAAGUAUUCUAAACCUCUGGUAUAGGUUCAAAUCCUAUUGGACACA